rnacentral:rRNA from 1 species
AAUGAACGCUGGCGGCAUGCCUAAUACAUGCAAGUCGAGCGACAGCACGAUAAGCGUUCUUCUCUACUGUUAGCGGCGGACGGAUGAGUAACAAGUGGAUCACCUACCUCUAAGUCUGGGAUAAAAACGUGAAACCAGAGCUGAUACUAGAUAAUAUUUUGAACGGCAUGCUUCAAAAGUGAUAGACGGUCUUCCCGUCACUAAUAGAUGGUUCCGCGCUGGAUUAGCUAGUUGGUAAGGUAACGGCUUACCAAGGCUACGAUGCGUAGCUGACCUGAGAGGGUGAUCGGCCACACUGGAACUGAGACACGGUCCAGACUCCUACGGGAGGCAGCAGUGGGGAAUCUUCGGCAAUGGGCGCAAGCCUGAUGCAGCAACGCCGCGUGAGUGAAGAAGGUCUUCGGGUCGUAAAACUCUUUUGUUAGGAAAGAAAAGAUGUGGAAGAAACUCCGGACAUCUUGACGGUACCUAAAGAAAAAGCAACGGCUAACUACGUG